AGGGGGCAUGCACGGCUCAGGGCUGCGGGCGAGGGGGCAUGCACGGCUCAGGGCUGCGGCUGGGCCCUCAGGGUUCCCGGCCAGGCCCCACGGGCCCUUUGGGUUUCCUCCACCAGGAAAACGUGGCAGGAUCUGGGCCAGGCCCACACUCCCCUGGCAGACUUGGUGCUGUGCACCAUCAACGCCAUUGAGGACCAGAGCCAGGAUGCCCUCGUGUCUGGAGUCAGAAGCCUGUGCCAGAGAUAUGAGCACUUGGCUCAGCGAGACACGGAAAUAUCCAGGGCACCAAGGCUGACGAGAACACUGCCGGGGCCUCACCCCAAGCUGGGGCAGACGUUGCUAAUCGAACCCCACGUUCUGCUGCUCUGGGGCAGAUGGAGCCCCAGUGUCUGCUCAGAGCUCCCGGCAGACCCAGCCACUUGGCAGGACUUGGCUCUGAGCUUUACAGACGAUGCUGACGAGGCUGCACCAUGCAGAUGGGGUGCUGGAGGUCCCCCAGCUGCACAUCUGGUCUGGUGUUCCCCUGAGAAAGCCUACUGGGGCAUCACUUCGGGAGGGAAGACGAGGAGCUGGCCCGUGCUCUGCGAUCCCUCCGGCAGGGCCUGGAGCGCUACCCCGGCCUGCUUCCUCCCCACAUACAAGAGCCUUGUGCAAAGUCUGUACAGAGCGGUCUUCACUGAGUACCUCCAGGCCUUGGUCACCCAUCUCAAGAAGCUGAAGCCCCGGAAGUGGAAAGACCAGCAGGGUCAGGUGGAAACGGACGUCCAGGAGCUGCGUGAGACUUUCGGGAGGCAGGAAGUGAGCCUGGGACUCUCAGGGGGCUUCCGAGGGGCCACCUUCACCUUCCCGGCGUGUCUCUCCUCCCCUGACCAGCCUGGAGCCAGCUGUGCUCUCCUGCCCCGCUGGGCCUGUCUGUGCCAGGCUGCUCUCUCACGGCGGCCCUGGGAACCCUGGGCAGAGGGGAGGCAGGGCCUGGGGGGGAAGCCUGGGGGGCUCACGAGGUGACACGGGCGUGUAGGACCCUGCUCUCCCUGGCAGGGCUGGCCUGGGGGCCUGUGUGGCAACCCCGGGUGAGGCCUGCGCUGGGUGAGUCUGGGAGCUCCUGUCUGCAGGGCCUCUGUGACGGAGCCCCUGGCCUGGAGGCCUUCAUGGAGGUCUUCCAGCUCAGCGGGGAGAGGGGCAGCCCGUGUCUGGAUGGAUGGCUGGCCUCCUUCAGGGACAGGUUCCCAGACUACGUGAGGAGGGAAUCCAAGGCCAGAGAAGGGCAAGGACUUGCCCAGGGUCCCCUGCAGGCUGGUGCAGGCCCCUCCCUGGUCUCUCCGCCUCCUGACACUGAGAUCCACCCAGCUGGACCCUCGGAGCGGCCCAGUCCAGAUCCCUUCCUGGUGUCCAGGGCUCCCGGCACACAGGGCCAGCCCGAGGAGCCUGAGCUCAGGAGCUGCUGCCCUUGCUCCUGGGGCUUCCUCACGACUUUCACAAGGUGACCGAGGGUGUGAGGGCUCCAGGGCCUUCUCCAGGGACGCUGGUCUGGCUCCUAGACAAACCCCCCACCAGUCUAUUUCCUUUGCUUCCUGUCCUGAGAUGCCCGUCACCAUUGUCUUGGCCGAGAUCUAUCCUGUCUGUUCCCUGGCAAAUGUCUUCACGGCGGAGGACCAGCCUCAUGUCUGGAGGACCAGACAGACGUUUGUCCUCAUCUCCUCGGCGCCCGCUGGCCGCCCCAAGUGGAGGUGGAAGCGGCAGUCUGAAAUCCAGAAAGAAGCCACCCUUCUCAAGCCUGGACUCCUCCACCAGAAGGAUCCUGAGUCAGACACCAGGCAGUGAAAGGCCGGCCUCCUCCAUGGUCCACCCAGAAGCAGCGGAGGGCGAGGGCGGGGCAGGCAGAGGGCAAGGUGCGGGAGCGUCCCACCAGCCUGGCCGCAUGUCCUCUCCUGUGUGGACCGCAGCUUUACUGAGAUGCAAUUCACCUGCCGCGUGUUUUGACCACUGAAGUCUCACGUACCAUUCAGUGGUUUUUAGCAUAUUCACAGCUGUGCAGCCAUCACCGCAGUCAAUGUUAGGACUUUUCAUCUACCCUAGAAAGAGACCCUGCAACUUUGUUGGCAUGACCCCAAACCCCUCUUCCCGCCAUGCCCCCGGCCCUGGGCAGGCCACAUAUGCGUGUCUGUUCCGGACACGUCGCAUGGAGUGAAUUACGUAAUACGUUGCCUUUCGUGACUGGCUUCUCUCACUUGUCAUUGUGCUUCAGCGUUCUUCAGUGUUGUGACUUGC
ensembl:lncRNA